ensembl:snRNA U4 U4 spliceosomal RNA
AGCUUUGCGCAGUGGCAGUAUCUUAGCCAAGGAGGUUUAUCCGAGGCGCGAUUAUUGCUAAUUGAAAAAAAGGAACAACUAGUACAACAUUCUAACAGGACCCAAAGUAUUCAAGAAGAGGGAUCCUAAAAGCAAACACUGAUUAUAUUUUGAUCACAAUGAAAUGC